AUUGAACGCUAGCGGGAUGCCUUACACAUGCAAGUCGAACGAGUGGCGGACGGGUGAGUAAUAUAUCGGCAGUGCCCAGUAGCGGGGGAUAACUACUGGAAACGGUAGCUAAUACCGCAUACUAUCGGAUAACCCAUAUGGGAUUAGCUAGUAGGUGAGGUAAUGGCUCACCUAGGCGACGAUCCCUAGCUGGUCUGAGAGGAUGAUCAGCCACACUGGGACUGAGACACGGCCCAGACUCCUACGGAGGCAGCAGUGGGGAAUAUUGCACAAUGGGCGCAAGCCUGAUGCAGCCAUGCCGCGUGGAUGAAGAAGGCCGUGGGGUUGUAAAGUACUUUUUGCAGAGAAGCGGUAUCUGCAGAAGAAGCCCCGGCUAACUACGUGCCAGCAGCCGCGGUAAUAC
rnacentral:rRNA from 1 species